GACGAACGCUGGCGGCGUGCUUAACACAUGCAAGUCGAACGGAAAGGCCCUGCUUUUGUGGUGUUCUCGAGUGGCGAACGGGUGAGUAACACGUGAGUAACCUGCCCUUGACUUUGGGAUAACUUCAGGAAACUGGGGCUAAUACCGGAUAGGAUCUCCUGCUGCAUGGUGGGGGUUGGAACGUUUCGGCGGUUGGGGAUGGACUCGCGGCUUAUCAGCUUGUUGGUGGGGUAGUGGCUUACCAAGGCUUUGACGGGUAGCCGGCCUGAGAGGGUGACCGGCGACAAUGGGACUAAGAGACGGCCCAGACUCCUACGGGAGGCAGCAGGGGGGAAUAUUGCACAAUGGGCGGAAGCCUGAUGCAGCAACGCCGCGUGCGGGAUGACGGCCUGCGGGGUGUAAACCGCUUUCGCCUGUGACGAAGCGUGAGUGACGGUAAUGGGUAAAGAAGCACCGGCUAACUACGUG
rnacentral:rRNA from 1 species